rnacentral:rRNA from 1 species
CACACCGCCCGUCACUCCUACCGAUUGAAUGGUCCGGUGAAGUGUUCGGAUUGCGGCGACGUGGGUGGUUCGCUGCCUGCGACGUGGUGAGAAGUCCACUGACCCUUAUCAUUUAGAGGAAGGAGAAGUCGUAACAAGGUUUCCGUAGGUGAACCUGCGGAAGGAUCAUU